AGUAAUCAUUCCACAGUUGGGUGCAGUUUCAUUUUGCUGCUGCUCUCCAGCUGACGACUAUUGCAAACACCUGUUGGGCUUUCUGUUCAUGCAAUUUAUGCAAGCUGAACCCUUAGUAUGCAGUUUAGUGUGCUUGCAUGAGUACACAGAUUUUCCAGCAUACACACAGUUGUGAACUUCAUUCUUCUCCUUGGUGUUCCUGUGGCAGUCAUGUUGCCUUGUUUUGAGAAGCAGGUUGCUGAGCUGUAAUCCUCAUUGUCAUAAAGGUCACUAAGGAAACAGGCAGGAGUUCACACCUGACCUACAUUAUAGUGAUGUCCAUUUUUACGGAGGAGGACUCAUUUGCACCAUCUUUGAAGACAUCAGUUCCUGCCAGUGGUUCAAAGUAACAGUGACCUGACCUGACAUGUCUUCAUUCCUGCAAGCUAAUAUUUGAACUGCUGUCAAGAGUUUGGGAGUACAAUUUGCAGAGAAGGCAUGGAAGAAAAAGAGAGCAGUACGUGCUGCCUACCUCCAUGAAGCAGUUCCAGGGCUGCACCGUCUGACACCACACUCAGAAGUGCGAGAGAAACAAAGUUGGAAUCGUGAGAAACUUUGAACAGGUCAUGCCUGUUGAGCUCUGAAUGAAGCAGUGAGUGCACCAAGAGCUCAUUUCUGGAUUUAAGUAUCUACCUUUUCUUAUGGGAGACAGAGAUCUCACACAGCAGGGGAUGAAGGGUUGUGCUUGUUUUUUUGCUGUUUUGUUCACUCUCCACGCUGAUGAAGAAAAGAAUCAAGAUGAGCUCAGCCUUCUGUAAGGAAAGUUGUCACUAUGGCUGGUGCAGCUUCCACAGGAGUAAAAAGGGGCUGAAUUCCUACUUUCCAGGACAGCUUGUAGUCUUCUGAUUCCAUCACUCUUCAGCUUUGAAAACCCAAAGAUGAAGAAGUCAUCUGCUGACAAGCCACUGUAUGUACCUUAGCAGGAUGGGGAUCAGAAUCAAUUUCUCUGGAGUUUCUUGGAAGUCACAGGGUCUUCAGUGGGGCCACAAAACAUUGGACUGCAAAUGGAAGAAAGAUUUGGAUCUCAGCAAGUUGGAAAGCAUACCAUUUUAUUUAUUUAUUUUUUCUUCUCCCAUCGAUAUGUCUGCAAGAAGACAGAAUUAAUUCUAAAUUAGAAUAGCUACCCCCCCCUCAAGCUCCAUGUCAGUUGUCCAAGUUCCAAACUCCUUGUUUCAGGGAAAAUAAAAGUUGUUUCCAUUUGCCUAAGUACAUUUAUCAUAAAAAGUUUAGUUGCAAUUUUUGUGGGUUUAAAUAAUAGGACUCAGCAUCCUUGCCAAGACAGAAAGGAAUGGCUCAUGGCUAGGUGGCAUGAGCAGGCACACGCGAGCAUUCCCUUUGCAGUUCUACCAAUACGCAUCUGAUUCUGCCAUCUGCGUCUGCUGUUUUAACAGAGAGAUUAUCUUCAGUGACCAAAAUGUACAACUGUUUGCGCAGCAACAAUAUACACAGAUUAUUUUUAGUUGAAACAUGUGGCACUACUCAUUGUGCAGCUGCUUUCAUGCAUUAAUGCAUUGUGAUACAAAACCCUAACUGCAAGAACCCAAAUUAAUUGCAAGCAACGAGACAUUUUGGACUGAAAACCCCUUUUGGCUACAUUAGAAUCGAGUUGUUGACUUUUCAAGCUAAAAGAGAUAUGAAUCAUGGAAAAUAUUUCAUUCUUAACCCCUCAAAGUACCCAAU